UGGGCUGUAGCUCAAUGGUAGAGUGCUUGCUUUGCAAGCAUGAGGCACUGGGUUCGAUCCUUAGCACCACGU
rnacentral:tRNA from 1 species